rnacentral:sRNA from 1 species
GGUGAGAACCUUCGAUUAAGGUUCGACUCGAGCGAAAGCGAGAGAACGUUGCCAACGGCAACGGCCCGAAGGGUGAGGAGCGAAGCGACGAAUAAUCCUUCCCCCACCACCA